GCAUGGUUGUCGUCAGCUCGUGCCGUGAGGUGUCGGGUUAAGUCCCAUAACGAGCGCAACCCCCUACUGCUAGUUGCCAGCGGGUCAUGCCGGGGACUCUAGCGGAACUGCCAGCGUAAGCUGCGAGGAAGGUGGGGAUGACGUCAAAUCAGCACGGCCCUUACGUCCAGGGCUACACACGUGUUACAAUGGCCAGUACAGAGGGCAGCCACCCCGCGAGGGGGCGCUAAUCCUAAAAGCUGGUCCCAGUUCGGAUCGGAGUCUGCAACCCGACUCCGUGAAGCUGGAUUCGCUAGUAAUCGCGCACUCAGCCAACGGCGACGGUGAAUACGGUUCCCGGGCCGUU
rnacentral:rRNA from 1 species